ACACACCCAAGCAAGGGCUGCUGAAAGAAGAGGAGGAUGUGCUGUUCCCUGUGGAGCUGAUAAACAUCAGCGUAUUGUCCUGUCAGCAGUGGGGACAGAAUUCUUUUCCCCAGGUCAGCACUUCUUACCCAGCCCUCCUCUGAGCGACGCACAGAAGAGUUUGUGGAUUUCACGCACAGUUGUUUUGGACAACUGUGUCCCUGCCUGCCAAGUCCGAGGUCUUCAUGCUUAUAUGAUUUUUCUUGGAGCUGGCAUCCCUUCAGAUAUACUACAAGCCAGUCUCUGAUAAGAAACCAUCCUUCCUCUCCUGGAGAAAAUGAGUGAAUGAAUCUCCCAGAGCUACAGUGGUAAAGCCUGAGAUCUGUAGAGAGCAGGGAUUUCCAGAGCCUGCUACCAUUGAGCAUCACACUGAGUGGUCUGUGCCAUGCUGCUGGAGACUGAACCUCACAUCCAGAGCCCUACUUCACUCCUCAGCACAGGCUGAACAUACAGGUGGUGAAAUAACUCAGCUGCAGGCAACACACCUCACAGAUGAGUAAAAGUACUCUCAAGCCAUUGCCAUGCACAGCACAUGCUACAGGGUACUCCCAGGUUUGCAGAUGGAUCCAUGGCCACAUUUCUAUUUAAAGGAUGUCUCCUGAAUCUGGUGGGGGAGACAGCUGGUGUUCACAAGAAUGUGAUGAACAUUGUUGCUAGCACAAACAGUUCCACUGCUGUUCUCCAUCGUCUAGGUACUCAUUAAUUUCUUCUUGCCUUUGAAAGACUACACCCUCAGACCAUACUACUACAGUUUCAGAACUCUGCAAAAUUAAAACUAAUCUGUGGUUCUAAAUCUCCCUCACUGCGUAAACUUCUGGAUUGCUUUUUUUGUCCUCAAAAAAAGACCCCAGUUCCCCAAACAACUGGA